UCAGAGAGCUGUGCUUUUAUUGUUUCUCUUAUACACGGGACCUGAGAUUUCAUUUGAGAAUGCAAUUUCUACUUAAAAAAGAUGGAAAAUCAUCUGUGAAGAGGGAAGCCUUUAGACUCAAACAGACCAUAUACUUAUGAAUUCUUUGUGAGUUCACUACUUGGGGCCUCAGUUUCAUCAUCUGUAAAAUGGGUGUUGGUGAUACCUGUCCUGAGAGAUUAUGAUGGUAAUGAGAUAAUGGAGGAUCUAAUGCACGGCUCAUAGCAGGUGUGCAAUGAAUGCAACUCUUCUCUCUUUUCCCCUCAAGACUGGCCUUGGACUCAGUUCUGACUCGUGUGUGUGUGUGUGUAGGUGGUGAACUUUCCCUAGGAGUUUCUUGCCUCAUAUUUUCCUUAUUCCUGGAAUGAUUUGCUUUCAGUGGUAGUUUCAUAUUCAUCUAUAGACAGGGAAGGACAUGGCAGAAUGAGAUAAAAUGGGGGAUGAAUGCUGCUAAAUACUGCCUUUGUGAUUGUAUUCAAUUACAUGGGCUUUUUCUUUGCCUGUUUGAUGAGAAAGGUGAUGAGAAAGGCAGGCCUGCAGGGGGCAGCACAUGGCCAGUACUUCACUCAUGAGGGACUGGCUCAUGGGACUCCUGGCUUUGCAAGAAAUCAGAGCCUUCCCAGGCAUAGGGGAGCCUUGGAGAUUUCUGCAAGGAGCCUCAGUUCUGGUGUUGAGAUAUUUAUUAUGCCCUGCAAGUUACUGAUGCUGGUGGAAUUAGGUCCUUGGGCUUCUUGGUCUCCUGGCCUCUGUGGUCCAGCCAGCCUCUUCCCCUAUCCCUCAAGGAUUACUUCUACGAUCUCCGAACUUCAGGGCUGAGAGGGACUUAAAUGGUGAUCUAACCCUAACACAUCAUGUUACCAAUACAGGAGGCAACCAACCUUGCAAGGUGGGGAUGUGUGUAUCUCCCAUCUUACAGGAGAGAAAACAGAGGCUCAGUGAGGUUAAAUGACUUUCACCAGGUCCCACAAGUAAGAAGUGAUAGAUUAAAGCUCUUUUGUUUGCAGGCAUCAGAAAUGUCUAGUCAGUUUAAGCAAAGGAGAGGAACAUGGAUCCUGGGGGGAUUUCACAGAAUGGCAAGAAAAUCAACUAAUUUGGCCUCCAUGGGUGGGGCCCGGGGUAGCUCAAGAUUGGCAGCAACAGUCUGUGGCUCUUUCUGUCCUGAACCUGCUCUCAGGGAUGAGCACUAGCCCCAGUCCAGCCCAGACCCUGUAUCUCUCAGGUCUAAAAUUCAGGUUGCUGGGAUAGAGGUUCUAGAUGGACCCCUUGGAUCACUCAGCAGUGGUCAGAGGUCAGGGGGUUACUAGCAUAGUUAUGGAGGAUUUGUUUUGAGUCCUGUAGUGAAGCCCUGACAAGAACACCACAGGUGUCAACACCUGGUCGAUGUGGGUCUUCCAAGGCUCAGCCGGGGCCUCUGUUCUGUCGCACAGUCACACAGUCUGCUCUCCAGUAGCUGCAGGCUAAUCCCAGCUGUAAGGUCAGCCGAGGAAACGGAAGGUGCUGUUUGCAUUUUAAUAAGGAAUCCAAAAGACCAAAGGCCUCUGGGUCCUAAAAGACUGGUUUUCUCAAAUGGUGCAAAGUCCAGGUAUUGUAACUGAUGGGGCACCAGGGGUAAGGAGCCCUCCCUGGUACUUCCCGUCACACCCACACAAGUGUGCCUCCAACUUAUAAAGUUCACCUGUUUAUCUUGCUGCCGCUUGUUCCCCCAACUCCUUUCCAUCUCCCUCUCCAAGGAUUCAGUAAUAUGUUGUCUAGACACUACUGCUGCUGUUUCUCCUCCAUUAAUCCAUUUUAAUUGGAAAGUUAUCAUAAUGCAAACUCUCUUUGGUAUUAUUUGCGGCUCUGCAUUAUUAGAACCUCACCAACUCGCUUUCCCAGCAAAUUAAACUUGCUAUGGAAGCAAUGAGAUCAGCUGCUCAUAUUAAAUCAGGCCGCACGUUGUUAAGUGGGGCUGGGAAUGGGGCUUCCUCAGCUGGGUGGGGCGCAAUCGCUGGAGGCGUUUACAAUGGCACCACUGUUUUUAUGCUGGGGAUUUGGCCUCUGUGCUCAGUUCUCCUCUUUUUUUGGCACUGUGUAUUGGAAAUUAGAGAUGGAAAGAAAGAGGGGACAAAAAACCCUCUGGUGGUAUUUGGCCUCUCACCCCAAACCCAGGGCAAACAGCAAUGAUCAGAAUGCACAUGGCCUUAACCCCAGAUGAAUUACAAAGCAUAUUCCAGUAGUCCUAAGAGCCUUGUGAAGUAGCGAUGAUCAUCCCCUGUGUAUGCAGCUGGAAACUGAAGCUCAGAGAAGGUACUUCUAGGGGCUGCACAGGCAACACAUAGUAGACGCGGACUCUAAGCCGAGUCCUCUGAGUCUAAAACCAGACGGCCCGAAGGGAUGAAACGCCAACCACAGUGAGCAGACCCUUUUUACAGAGCAGAUCCUGGAACGGAUUCAUUUCUAGCUGAUAGUAUGGAAAGCAGUUAAUAAAUGACCAGGUUUCCUAUUUGUGGAUUAUCACCACCUCAGCAUCUAAUUUUUCCCAGUUACCCACUCAAUAGAACAACAUGGCUGACACUCCUGCCCACCCACCCAACGGCCAUUUCCCCCUACUCCCUUGCUACCCGAAACCUAAUUUUGUUAAGUCAGAAAUGUGCCCAAUCUCAGAGGAAGACUCAUGAUUGGUCUAAGCCAGCCAUGGGCGUCUGUUUCCCUUGUCAGUGAUUGGUCUAGAGGUGGAGCCCAUUUCCCCUCCUGCUGAGCGUGGGCCACACUUAGCGACUGGCUUUCAAUGAAGAGAAUGUAACAGAGGUGAAAGUGUGUGACAUUCGAGGAAAGGCCAUAAAAGACAUUGGUGCUUCAGCUUUGCUCUCGCGGCUGUCUGACUCUGGGGGAAGCCAGCCACCACGUCAUGAGGACACCCAAACAGCCUACGGAGAGGCCCACGUAGGGAGGAGCUGAGGCCCCCUGCCAGCAAGCAGCCCUAGCCCGCCAGCUGUGUGAGUGAGCGAGCCUUUUUGGAAGUGCAUCCUCCUGUCCCAGUCCAGCCCUCAGAUGGCUGCAGCCCUGCUAGCAUCUUGACUGCCGCCUCAUGAGGGACCUCAAGCCAGAACCAACAGCCACGUGGUGCCAGAAUUCCUCAUCUGCAGCAGCCGUGUGAGAUCAUAACUGUUUAUUGCCUUUUUAAGCCACUGAGUUUUGGGGUCGUUUGUUACUCAGCAGUAGAUGAUUAAUAUGCUGUCAUGCAGCUGUCUUGGAACCAGGAGGGGCAAGACUGAGGGCAGAAGCCACUGUGGUGAAACUGGCGGAGACAUGGAAUCUGGAUUCCUGGUGAUGUGAGCUAGUGAGCUGCCCAGCCAACCCUGGGUUGCCUAUUUUGGGACUUUUUGUUACAUGAGCUGAUAAGAACCCUUAAUUCAUUGUUAGUCUGG
rnacentral:lncRNA from 1 species